GGCGGCAGGCUUAACACAUGCAAGUCGAACGAGAAUCUAGAGCUUGCUCUAGAGGACAGUGGCGCACGGGCGAGUAACGCGUAGGCAACCUACCCCUAGAAUUGGAAUAACUCCGGGAAACCGAAGCUAAUACCGAAUAACAUCUUAAGAUCGCAUGGUCUAUAGAUCAAAACUCCGGUGUCUAGGGAUGGGCCUGCGUAAGAUUAGGUAGUUGGUGGGGUAAUGGCCCACCAAGCCGACGAUCUUUAGCUGGUCUGAGAGGAUGAUCAGCCACACUGGCACUGAGACACGGGCCAGACUCCUACGGGAGGCAGCAGUGAGGAAUAUUGCGCAAUGGGGGAAACCCUGACGCAGCCAUGCCGCGUGGUGGAUGACACCCCUAUGGGGCGUAAACACCUUUUAUAAGAGAAGAAGGCCUUACUCGGUAAGGUUUGACGGUAUCUUAUGAAUAAGCACCGGCUAACUCCGUGCCAGCAGCCGCGGUAAUACGGAGGGUGCAAGCGUUGUCCGGAAUCACUGGGUGUAAAGGGUGUGUAGGCGGAGCUGUAAGUCAGAGGUGAAAUCCUGCAGCUUAACUGUAGAACUGCCUUUGAUACUGCAGCCCUUGAAUAUCGGAGAGGUUACUAGAAUUCGUGGUGUAGCGGUGAAAUGCGUAGAUAUCACGAGGAAUACCAGAAGCGUAGGCGGUAACUUGGACGAUUAUUGACGCUGAGGCACGAAAG
rnacentral:rRNA from 1 species